rnacentral:rRNA from 1 species
UCGGCUAGGGGGCCAUCCCGGCUUACCAACCCGAUGCAAACUGCGAAUACCGGAGAAUGUUAUCACGGGAGACACACGGCGGGUGCUAACGUCCGUCGUGAAGAGGGAAACAACCCAGACCGCCAGCUAAGGUCCCAAAGUCAUGGUUAAGUGGGAAACGAUGUGGGAAGGCCCAGACAGCCAGGAUGUUGGCUUAGAAGCAGCCAUCAUUUAAAGAAAGCGUAAUAGCUCACUGGUCGAGUCGGCCUGCGCGGAAGAUGUAACGGGGCUAAACCAUGCACCGAAGCUGCGGCAGCGACGUUUAUGCGUUGUUGGGUAGGGGAGCGUUCUGUAAGCCUGCGAAGGUGGCCUGUGAGGGUUGCUGGAGGUAUCAGAAGUGCGAAUGCUGACAUAAGUAACGAUAAAGCGGGUGAAAAGCCCGCUCGCCGGAAGACCAAGGGUUCCUGUCCAACGUUAAUCGGGGCAGGGUGAGUCGACCCCUAAGGCGAGGCCGAAAGGCGUAGUCGAUGGGAAACGGGUUAAUAUUCCCGUACUUGGUGUUACUGCGAAGGGGGGACGGAGAAGGCUAUGUUGGCCGGGCGACGGUUGUCCCGGUUUAAGCGUGUAGGUGUGUGUUCCAGGUAAAUCCGGUUCACUUUAACACUGAGGCGUGAUGACGAGGCACUACGGUGCUGAAGCAACAAAUGCCCUGCUUCCAGGAAAAGCCUCUAAGCAUCAGGUAACAUCAAAUCGUACCCCAAACCGACACAGGUGGUCAGGUAGAGAAUACCAAGGCGCUUGAGAGAACUCGGGUGAAGGAACUAGGCAAAAUGGUGCCGUAACUUCGGGAGAAGGCACGCUGACACGUAGGUGAAGUGAUUUACUCAUGGAGCUGAAGUCAGUCGAAGAUACCAGCUGGCUGCAACUGUUUAUUAAAAACACAGCACUGUGCAAACACGAAAGUGGACGUAUACGGUGUGACGCCUGCCCGGUGCCGGAAGGUUAAUUGAUGGGGUCAGCGCAAGCGAAGCUCCUGAUCGAAGCCCCGGUAAACGGCGGCCGUAACUAUAACGGUCCUAAGGUAGCGAAAUUCCUUGUCGGGUAAGUUCCGACCUGCACGAAUGGCGUAAUGAUGGCCAGGCUGUCUCCACCCGAGACUCAGUGAAAUUGAACUCGCUGUGAAGAUGCAGUGUACCCGCGGCAAGACGGAAAGACCCCGUGAACCUUUACUAUAGCUUGACACUGAACAUUGAGCCUUGAUGUGUAGGAUAGGUGGGAGGCUUUGAAGCGUGGACGCCAGUCUGCGUGGAGCCGACCUUGAAAUACCACCCUUUAAUGUUUGAUGUUCUAACGUGGACCCGUAAUCCGGGUUGCGGACAGUGUCUGGUGGGUAGUUUGACUGGGGCGGUCUCCUCCUAAAGAGUAACGGAGGAGCACGAAGGUUGGCUAAUCCUGGUCGGACAUCAGGAGGUUAGUGCAAUGGCAUAAGCCAGCUUGACUGCGAGCGUGACGGCGCGAGCAGGUGCGAAAGCAGGUCAUAGUGAUCCGGUGGUUCUGAAUGGAAGGGCCAUCGCUCAACGGAUAAAAGGUACUCCGGGGAUAACAGGCUGAUACCGCCCAAGAGUUCAUAUCGACGGCGGUGUUUGGCACCUCGAUGUCGGCUCAUCACAUCCUGGGGCUGAAGUAGGUCCCAAGGGUAUGGCUGUUCGCCAUUUAAAGUGGUACGCGAGCUGGGUUUAGAACGUCGUGAGACAGUUCGGUCCCUAUCUGCCGUGGGCGCUGGAGAACUGAGGGGGGCUGCUCCUAGUACGAGAGGACCGGAGUGGACGCAUCACUGGUGUUCGGGUUGUCAUGCCAAUGGCACUGCCCGGUAGCUAAAUGCGGAAGAGAUAAGUGCUGAAAGCAUCUAAGCACGAAACUUGCCCCGAGAUGAGUUCUCCCUGAGACUUAGCCAAC